AGCAGCCGCGGUAAUUCCAGCUCCAAUAGCGUAUAUUAAAGUUGUUGCAGUUAAAAAGCUCGUAGUUGAAUUUCGGGAUUGACACAUCGGUCGUGCCUUAAGGGGUAUGAACUGGUGUAGUCAAUUUCUCACCUUCUGGAGAACCGCGAUGUCCUUAAUUGGGUGCCGCGGGGAACCAGGACCUUUACUUUGAAAAAUUAGAGUGUUUAAAGCAGGCAUUUUGCUUGAAUACAUUAGCAUGGAAUAAUAAAAUAGGACGGAUGAUUCUAUUUUGUUGGUUUCUAGGACCACCGUAAUGAUUAAUAGGGAUAGUUGGGGGCAUUAGUAUUCAAUUGUCAGAGGUGAAAUUCUUGGAUUUAUUGAAGACUAACUACUGCGAAAGCAUUUGCCAAGGAUGUUUUCAUUAAUCAAGACGAAAGUUAGGGGAUCGAAGACGAUCAGAUACCGUCGUAGUCUUAACCAUAAACUAUGCCGACUAGGAAUCAGACGAUGUUAAUUUUUUAAUGUAACUCGUUUUGGC
rnacentral:rRNA from 1 species